rnacentral:rRNA from 1 species
UACGGAGGGGGCUAGCGUUGUUCGGAAUUACUGGGCGUAAAGGGUUCGUAGGUGGCUUGCUAAGUCAGACGUGAAAUCCCUCAGCUUAACUGGGGAACUGCGUCUGAUACUGGCGAGCUUGAGUGCAGGAGAGGAACGCGGAAUUCCAGGUGUAGCGGUGAAAUGCGUAGAUAUGCCAUAGAACACCGAUUGCGAAGGCAGCCGGCCAAGCCUUGAUUGACGCUGAGGCACGAAAGCGUGGGGAGCGAACAGG